CCCCCCCGCGCCGCGGUGCCGCUGCGGAGCCCCGCGGAGUUCCAGGUGAGUGCGGCCACCCGGCGCUGCGGGGCGUCUCCGGGGCUGCAGCAGCGCCUCCGACCCCACCUUCCCCCGCAGAUCAGCUUUGAGAUCACCACUCGGAGGUGGCCGAUGGAGGGGACGGUGGCACUGGAUGACAUCGCGUACAGCGCCAGGGUGGGCUGCCAUUCCAGCCCGGAGAGUCCCGUGGAAGGUGCGGGGGGCGGGGAUGGCGGUGGCGGUUCUGGCUGUGAAAGGUCAACCCAGAGCUGCCCGGGGUGCUGGGCUGAGGCUGGAGACAGCUCUCUGGGCGCUGACAGCAUUUCCUCCCCCUGCAGGGAAACCCUCCGGCAAUUUUGUGACGGAGGUGGUGCUCAGUCUGCUCCUGGCCCUCGUCGUCGUGGGGCUGGUGGCUGCUGGGGGUUGGUACUGCCUGAAACAGCGACGGGUAGCGAGCAGGACACCGACAGAGAGCAACAGUCCCCAGGGCUUCGACAACAUCACCUUCCGGGAUGACAAGGUGAUUAUAUCUCCAAGGGAGGGGGAUGAGUCUUGAAAGUGGCAGCCAGCAGCAGGAAUUGCCUGCGCCCCCGGGCAGAGCACCCUCGACAGGAACCCGCACUCCAUCAGUUGCCCGCUCUCUGCCCCCGGCACCGGGGAGCCGGCACCCCGGGGAGCCCGUCCCGCCCCGGGACACACCGCCCAUCACUACCUCCACGUGCUCGGGAAAAGCCUUGUUGUUGUUUGUAACAUGAACUUUCUGUUUCCAAGACGCAGCAAUGUGCCCGUGCUUUGCCAGGGGGAAGGAGUGGGAGUUCUCGCGGUG
rnacentral:lncRNA from 12 species